AGUUAAUGGAUUCUGGUCUAAGCAGUGAGGUGUGAGAUGUGUCAAAUGCAUUUCUCUUUAACAUUGAGCUGUGAUGGGGAAGCAACUACGGUUGCGAACUCUCUGAUGUCACACUGCCAAGAAAAGCUUCUAGCGUAAAGUCAUAUCUACCCGUACCGCAAACCGACACAGGUAGUCGAGGCGAGUAGCCUCAGGUGAUCGAGAGAACUCUCGUUAAGGAACUCGGCAAAAUAGCCCCGUAACUUCGGGAGAAGGGGUGCUGGUGUAAAAGCCAGCCGCAGUGAAUAGGCCCAAGCAACUGUUUAUCAAAAACACAGCUCUCUGCUAAACCGCAAGGUGAUGUAUAGGGGGUGACGCCUGCCCGGUGCUGGAAGGUUAAGAGGAGUGCUUAGACGUAAGUCGAAGGUAUGAAUUGAAGCCCCAGUAAACGGCGGCCGUAACUAUAACGGUCCUAAGGUAGCGAAAUUCCUUGUCGGGUAAGUUCCGACCCGCACGAAAGGCGUAAUGAUUUGGGCACUGUCUCAACG
rnacentral:rRNA from 1 species